ncrna:Vibrio breoganii 1C10 L31-Gammaproteobacteria ribosomal protein leader
CGUGUGGUGUUCAGCAUAGAACUGGAUAGCGACACGGCCUAUAAAUGAGGU